rnacentral:rRNA from 1 species
UACGAAGGGGGCUAGCGUUGCUCGGAAUCACUGGGCGUAAAGCGCACGUAGGCGGCUUUCUAAGUCAGGGGUGAAAUCCUGGAGCUCAACUCCAGAACUGCCUUUGAUACUGAGAGGCUUGAGUCCGGGAGAGGUGAGUGGAACUGCGAGUGUAGAGGUGAAAUUCGUAGAUAUUCGCAAGAACACCAGUGGCGAAGGCGGCUCACUGGCCCGGUACUGACGCUGAGGUGCGAAAGCGUGGGGAGCAAACAGG